UGAGGUCUGAGCAAUCAAUGAUGUAAUGUGAAUCAUCAAAUCUCAGUAUUCCGCAAGAGACCCUACAUGUCUGUCUCGAUUCCUGAGAAAAAAAAUUCUCCCUAAGACGGUUUCCAAGAGUAAUAAAGCUGGAGGGAAAUUAUACACCCCAGCUGUAGUGUGCACUGCUGCAGCCCCCUAAAUGGCCUCCCAGAGCUGAGGCUCGACCACUAACUUGAGUGCAUCCGCUCCACCGACAUAGAGCGCGAACAUUUGGCAACACCAUUUGGCGUGCUUCUGAGCUCCUUGUUAUGUCCAUCUAGCAUGACCACUGCCAAACCCAGUAUGGCUCCCGCUGUUCCUACAAAGAAGUCAAGCAAGAUCUGCAAGACCCCAACCACUAAUGAAAAGGGGGAAUGGAGAUACAACCGCUGGCAAGACAUUACAGAACCCAUUGACCAGAAAGGUCAUCAUCUAUUUGGCCUAUCUCUGUUAUUCUAGGUCUCCUUUGCCAAGAAGUUCCAUACAGUGGAAUUACAACCACAUCUGAGGGCAGGCGAUCCAGGCCAUUUAAACUGUCAGGAGAUUGAGGCUCGUGCUGGAUUCACACAAACUUGUGAGUGCAACUUCAAGGCUGCGUCCGAAACCAGGAAAAUGCUGCCUCCGGAGGCUGUAUACAGAGGGGCAGGAUGUCACAAAGGACCCCUCAGAAUGGACUCCUACAUUUUGUGUAUUGCAUAACACAUCUCAUGCACUGAGGAAACAAGAGUGGAUGUAAAGGAGAAAGACGCAAGGGGCCCUGGGCGCUAGCAAAGUCCUUGAAAGGCAAGUCAAUUCACUCUGUGACAAUCUUGGCAAUGGCAGCUAUCUUCUAUGUACAUAAUGGACAUGCAAAUAUAGCUGCUAUCUACUUGGAUGCGAAAGACCGAAAUCUUCAAAACUGUUUGUCAGGAUUAUGUUUUAUUAACCUAUGUCAAAUCAGUAAUAUACUCUGAUAACAAUGGUAUCACAAAUCAGAUCAACAGAGGAACGU